UUACAGAGUCAGUCAAUACAUUGACUUUGAGAGAGCAACGUCUCUUAAGAGGGUAAAGCGGCGUAAAAGACGACCGCUAGUAGGAUGAACUGUUAUUCUUUCAAUGGUUCAGACUGCGACACCGUCAAAUUGCGGGGAGUUCCUAAAGCUUGCACUACUAAGCGGUCCUUGAAAUAGGGUCGUGGCCGGGGUAAUGACCUAGGGUACAGUAAAAACGUGCAAGAUGUAACAAUGGAUAAUCCGCAGCCAAGCUCUAAGUCUGCCUUGAAGAGUCAGAUAUGGGUGUAGUUCAACGACUAAAUAAAUAGUGGUGGGUUCCGGUAGAAACGCGGUUUGCGUACUCUGCCCGGGCUUAAGAUAUAAUCUGGCCUUCUGUGAAAGCAGGAG